rnacentral:rRNA from 1 species
UACGAAGAGGGCUAGCGUUGCUCGGAAUCACUGGGCGUAAAGGGUGCGUAGGCGGGUCUUUAAGUCAGGGGUGAAAUCCUGGAGCUCAACUCCAGAACUGCCUUUGAAACGGGAACGCUUGAGUCCGAGAGAGGGUGGCGGAAUUCCUAGUGUAGAGGUGAAAUUCGUAGAUAUUAGGAAGAACACCAGUGGCGAAGGCGGCCACCUGGCUCGGUACUGACGCUCAGGUUCGAAAGCGUGGGGAGCAAACAGG